GGACACGUGCCUGAAACAUAAGGAUCACUUUGAUAGAGCGAACAUAGAGGCUAAAAUCCUCUCGUCUCCU
rnacentral:tRNA from 1 species